rnacentral:rRNA from 1 species
AUUGAACGCUGGCGGCAGGCCUAACACAUGCAAGUCGAACGCGUGGCGGACGGGUGUGUAAUGUCUGGGACACUGCCUGAUGGAGGGGGAUAACUACUGGAAACGGUAUCUAAUCCCGCAUACCAUCGUCUGUGCCCAGAUGGGAUUAGCUAGUAGGUGGGGUAAUGGCCCACCUAGGCGACGAUCCCUAGCUGGUCUGAGAGGAUGCCCAGCCACACUGGCACUGAGACACGGUCCAGAAUCCUACGGGAGGCAGCAGUGGGGAAUAUUGCACAAUGGGCGCAAGCCUGAUGCAGCCAUGCCGCGUGUAUGAAGAAGGCCUUCGGGUUGUAAAGUACUUUCAGCGGGGAGGCGUUACCCGCAGAAGAAGCACCGGCUAACUCCGUGCCAGCAGCCGCGGUAAUAC